rnacentral:rRNA from 1 species
AUGCAAGUCGAACGAGGCGAAGGGGGCGAACUCCUCCAGUCGAGUGGCGGACGGGUGAGUAACACGUGGGUAACCUGCCCGGAAGUGUGGAAUACCUCGGGGAAACUCGAGCUAAUACCGCAUGACAUCUUUGGACGACAGUCCUGACGAUCAAAGCGGGGUCGCAAGAUCUCGCGCUACCGGAUGGGCCCGUGCCCGAUUAGCUAGUUGGUGAGGUAACGGCUCACCAAGGCUUCGAUCGGUAACCGGCCUGAGAGGGCGAUCGGUCACACCGGAACUGAGACACGGUCCGGACUCCUACGGGAGGCAGCAGUGGGGAAUCUUGCGCAAUGGGCGAAAGCCUGACGCAGCAACGCCGCGUGGAGGAUGAAGGCCCUUUGGGGUUGUAAACUCCUGUCGGCUGGGAAGAAAUCGUGCGGUGCUCAUACCAUCGUACGUUGACUGUACCAGCAAAGGAAGCCCCGGCUAACUCUGUGCCAGCAGCUGC